AUGGUGCGUCAUCUGUGACGCAUCUCGAGUCAUCGCCUCACGGUCUGCCGCACUUCUUGGCGGGCACUGAUGCGGGGACCGUCAACCUUUGCUCCUUGACUGAUUUUAGAGUCUUAUUGACAUUGGAGUUUGGCAUCACUCCCACAACGAUAGAAAAAUGUAAAUCCGAUGAUAAAGGACGUUUCAUCAGCACCAUUCCUGUUAAAACAUCUAUCGAGGAUGUGAACUUAAAUACUAAGCUAACAAUAAACUCAAUAUCGUGGUCACACGCGAACCCGUUCAACAUAAUCGCCGUGUGCAACACUAGUGUAAGUGUGUGGGAGCUCACACACAGCGACAUGCGGCCGCGAUGCGGUGGGGGGGAUGUGCUUGAGUGUUGCUCCACUGAGCGGGCUCUAACCUUAUUGACUACAGAAGGGGAAGUACAAGUCUACAAAUUGAAGGAUGAAG
rnacentral:misc_RNA from 1 species